GUGCCCGCCGGGUCUAGUGGUCCUAAACAUUUCACAAUUGCGCUACAGAACUGUUGAACUGUUAAGAACCACUGGACCCAGCGCGC
rnacentral:pre_miRNA from 1 species